CAGUAACCUUUCGGAAUGGGGGAUCCUCGUUGGCAACAACCACGGUAGUAGUUGCGGAACUACCGGGCCGGGAGAGGACAACCUCUUGUUCCUGCUCCUCUUUCUUCGCUUCGGGGACGGAGGUCCUACGGUAGGUAACAGCAGGCACAAACAACUUGACCGAAGGGGACCAGCGCUUCUACUCCUCCACCGAGGAGCCGUUCGCAGCGAGAAGCAAGGGAUGUU
rnacentral:lncRNA from 1 species